rnacentral:rRNA from 1 species
CCUACGGGAGGCAGCAGUGGGGAAUAUUGCACAAUGGGGGAAACCCUGAUGCAGCGACGCCGCGUGAGUGAAGAAGUAUUUCGGUAUGUAAAGCUCUAUCAGCAGGGAAGAAAUACUGACCUUACGGUCAGCAGACGGUACCUGACUAAGAAGCCCCGGCUAACUACGGGCCAGCAGCCGCGGUAAUACGUAGGGGGCAAGCUUUAUCCGGAGUUACUGGGUGUAAAGGGAGCGUAGACGGCAGCACAAGUCUGGAGUGAAAUGGCGGGGCUUAACCCCGGAACUGCUUUGGAAACUGUGCAGCUAGAGUGCAGGAGGGGCAACCGGAAUUCCUAGUGUAGCGGUGGAAUGCGUAGAUAUUAGGAGGAACACCAGUGGCGAAGGCGGGUUGCUAGACUGUAACUGACACUGAGGCACGAAAGCGUGGGGAGCAAACAGGAUUAGAUACCCUUGUAGUC